rnacentral:lncRNA from 1 species
GUGAGAGGCAGGCCUCGGGUGGGCAGUGGGAGAGAAAGAAGAUGCUAGAUAGUUCUAGUUCUUGGGCAGCUGGAGCCCUCAGCUUUCUCCUCCACCUGGAACAUGGAGAUGAUGAUAUUCAGGGAGCUAUUCAUACUGAAGCCACCAGGAAAGGAACACCAUUCUUAUGUCUGGAUUCCAGAGGGGAAAACUGAGGCAGAAGGGCAAACUUUGGUCUAGGACAGCCAAUAAAAGAAAACGAAGUAGGAUCCUUCUUUCAAGGGGAUUAGCCCCUGUUCGCUGAACGCCCCCCGACUGGGUACUUUCCGCUCCCUGAACAGCUUUGCCUUUUUGCAGCUUUUGAAGUAGCCCUUGAGCUGAGCAGUCAGGAAUCACAAGGUCAUGAGAAGUUAGGGUGGCCCUAGGUUGGUGACCAGCAACCACUGAGAACAAGCCCGGGCAGGCCUGGCAGAAAAAGAGAAAGGGGCACUGGUCUGACCCCAGAAAAGUGGGUGCUGCUUCUGGUUCCCAGGCUGCCGUGGCCAAAGGUCUGUUUGUGUUUCUCAGGUGUGGAGGCAAGUGCCCUGUAAUUCUGCAGCUCAUCUCCUCUGCCGUGGCCUGAUUCUAUGGGUCGGACCUCUACCUGCUUCCUCCCACAGGGCUGGAAGCCCAGACAUGGUCUACCCCACUUCCCUUGCCAGAUCCUCUGGCCUCUCUUCCCAGCCCAGGACCUGAAUUGCCUAGAUCGCAGCUCCCAGAAGGAGAGAGCUGCAGAGACGUCAGAUGGAGGCCAUAGAGUGAGGGCACUAAUUACUGUGCUGAGCUCCGAGCUGCCUAAUGAGGCCGGUUGGAUUUCCUGUUGUUCUGGCUUCCCAAGACCCUUAAAGGGCCAGCAUCGCACUAGGAGCGUGCCCGGGUGGGCCACCAACCGAUCUGGUGAGGGUGAGCCCAGAGGGGCUAUCCCUAGGCCCGGCCUGAAUGCCAAGGGCAGUGACAAGGGGCUGGUCCAGUACUUCCCGGCCACUCUCACGCCCUCCAUGAGGACCUGCUCAGAAGUGCCCGCUCCGGAAGCAGGAGCUUCAGAACUCUGCAGCCUGGCCAGAGCCUGGGGUGGGGAGGAGGGGGAGGCAAGGAGGCCAGCGCUGUAGAGGAAAGGCUGGUGAUGUCACCAGUGCCCAGACUGUGAGAACCGCUGUAGCAGCGGGCAGGAGGGAAGCGCCGUGACGUCCUGUUCCCCCCCUACCCUGGAAAAUAAACACUUGUUGUCUGAGCAGCCAGCGC